rnacentral:rRNA from 1 species
AUGCAAGUCGAGCGAACAGACGAGGAGCUUGCUUCUCUGACGUUAGCGGCGGACGGGUGAGUAACACGUGGAUAACCUACCUAUAAGACUGGGAUAACUUCGGGAAACCGGAGCUAAUACCGGAUAAUAUAUUGAACCGCAUGGUUCAAUAGUGAAAGACGGUUUUGCUGUCACUUAUAGAUGGAUCCGCGCCGCAUUAGCUAGUUGGUAAGGUAACGGCUUACCAAGGCAACGAUGCGUAGCCGACCUGAGAGGGUGAUCGGCCACACUGGAACUGAGACACGGUCCAGACUCCUACGGGAGGCAGCAGUAGGGAAUCUUCCGCAAUGGGCGAAAGCCUGACGGAGCAACGCCGCGUGAGUGAUGAAGGUCUUCGGAUCGUAAAACUCUGUUAUUAGGGAAGAACAAAUGUGUAAGUAACUAUGCACGUCUUGACGGUACCUAAUCAGAAAGCCACGGCUAACUACGUGCCAGCAGCCGCGGUAAUACGUAGGUGGCAAGCGUUAUCCGGAAUUAUUGGGCGUAAAGCGCGCGUAGGCGGUUUUUUAAGUCUGAUGUGAAAGCCCACGGCUCAACCGUGGAGGGUCAUUGGAAACUGGAAAACUUGAGUGCAGAAGAGGAAAGUGGAAUUCCAUGUGUAGCGGUGAAAUGCGCAGAGAUAUGGAGGAACACCAGUGGCGAAGGCGACUUUCUGGUCUGUAACUGACGCUGAUGUGCGAAAGCGUGGGGAUCAAACAGGAUUAGAUACCCUGGUAGUCCACGCCGUAAACGAUGAGUGCUAAGUGUUAGGGGGUUUCCGCCCCUUAGUGCUGCAGCUAACGCAUUAAGCACUCCGCCUGGGGAGUACGACCGCAA